GAUGAACGCUGGCGGCGUGCCUAAUACAUGCAAGUCGAGCGAAUGGAUUAAGAGCUUGCUCUUAUGAAGUUAGCGGCGGACGGGUGAGUAACACGUGGGUAACCUGCCCAUAAGACUGGGAUAACUCCGGGAAACCGGGCCUAAUACCGGAUAACAUUUUGAACCGCAUGGUUCGAAAUUGAAAGGCGGCUUCGGCUGUCACUUAUGGAUGGACCCGCGUCGCAUUAGCUAGUUGGUGAGGUAACAGCUCACCACGGCAACGAUGCGUAGCCGACCUGAGAGGGUGAUCGGCCACACUGGGACUGAGACACGGCCCAGACUCCUACGGGAGGCAGCAGUAGGGAAUCUUCCGCAAUGGACGAAAGUCUGACGGAGCAACGCCGCGUGAGUGAUGAAGGCUUUCGGGUCGUAAAACUCUGUUGUUAGGGAAGAACAAGUGCUAGUUGAAUAAGCUGGCACCUUGACGGUACCUAACCAGAAAGCCACGGCUAACUACGUGCCAGCAGCCGCCGUAA
rnacentral:rRNA from 1 species